rnacentral:rRNA from 1 species
AGUGAACGCUGGCGGUAGGCCUAACACAUGCAAGUCGAACGGCAGCACAGUAAGAGCUUGCUCUUACGGGUGGCGAGUGGCGGACGGGUGCGGAAUACAUCGGAAUCUACUUUUUCGUGGGGGAUAACGUAGGGAAACUUACGCUAAUACCGCAUACGACCUACGGGUGAAAGCAGGGGAUCUUCGGACCUUGCGCGAUUGAAUGAGCCGAUGUCGGCUUAGCUAGUUGGCGGGGUAAAGGCCCACCAAGGCGACGAUCCGUAGCUGGUCUGAGAGGAUGAUCAGCCACACUGGAACUGAGACACGGUCCAGACUCCUACGGGAGGCAGCAGUGGGGAAUAUUGGACAAUGGGCGCAAGCCUGAUCCAGCCAUACCGCGUGGGUGAAGAAGGCCUUCGGGUUGUAAAGCCCUUUUGUUGGGAAAGAAAAGCAGCAGGUUAAUACCCCGCUGUUCUGACGGUACCCAAAGAAUAAGCACCGGCUAACUUCGUG